AAAUGACUAGCCUCACCUCCUGGUUCUGGUAGGCUGUGACGGCAAUAAAAGCAGCCUCAGGGAACGUGAAACGCAGGCCAUUGUUGCUGAGGGUGUUGUUGGUCAGUUUGAGCUUGUGGAAGGAGAUUGGAUACUGCAUCCACUUCUCUCCAGAUGCAGGAGAGUCUGGGUGGAUGAAGAACCGGUUGGGCAGGUGUGGAUCAGCUCACGCCCUUGGAGCGAUACAUGGACUGGCAGUGAGGUCAAUUCUGCUUCAGCAUUGUUCAACCUGGCUGCUGUCCCAGUCUCAGUCCGGUAAAUGGGUUCCUUACAAUCUAAUCAAUAAUAUCAAUAGCAAUUUCUUUAAAUUUCUUUCAUAAGUUUUUUUUUUUUUUUUCCAAAUGUACAAAAUAAGUUCUCCAAAAUGGCAGCUUUUAUAAUACCCCAUUAGCCUUACAUUUUAAGGGGUUCUCUUUCUUUAAAGAUUUAUGACAACUUAUUAUAAAAUUUAAAUAAAGUGAAAUGUACUAGUAGGUAAUAUGUCAACUGAAUUUGAAAUUUUCCAAAUAUGGGUGAAGAAGAGACUGUCCUACCUUGUGGGUA